CGCGUAGGUGGCCUGUUAAGUCGAACGUGAAAUCCCCGGGCUCAACCCGGGAACUGCGUCCGAGACUGGCAGGCUCGAAUCCGGGAGAGGGAUGUGGAAUUCCAGGUGUAGCGGUGAAAUGCGUAGAUAUCUGGAGGAACACCGGUGGCGAAGGCGGCAUCCUGGACCGGUAUUGACGCUGAGGCGCGAAAGCCAGGGGAGCAAACGG
rnacentral:rRNA from 1 species